rnacentral:rRNA from 1 species
GACGAACGCUGGCGGCGUGCUUAACACAUGCAAGUCGAACGGAAAGGCCCUGCUUUUGUGGGGUGCUCGAGUGGCGAACGGGUGAGUGACACGUGAGUAACCUGCUCUUGACUUUGGGAUAACUUCAGGAAACUGGGCCUACUACCGGAUAGGAGCCCCUGCUGCAUGGUGGGGGUUGGAACGUCUCGGCGGGUGGGGAUGGACUCGCGGCUUAUCAGCUUGUUGGUGGGGUAGUGGCUUACCCAGGCUUUGACGGGUAGCCGGCCUGAGAGGGUGACCGGCCACAUGGGGACUGAGGUACGGCCCAGUCGCCUACAGGAGGCAGCAGUGGGGAAUAUUGCACAAUGGGCGGGAGCCUGAUGCAGCGACGCCGCGUGCGGGAUGACGGCCUGCGGGUUGUAAACCGCUUUCGCCUGUGACGAAGCGGGAGUGACGGUAAUGGGUAAAGAAGCACCGGCUAACUACGUG